GCUUCUAUGACGUUAGCGGCGGACGGGUGAGUAACACGUGGGCAACCUGCCUGUAAGACUGGGAUAACUUCGGGAAACCGAAGCUAAUACCGGAUAGGAUCUUCUCCUUCAUGGGAGAUGAUUGAAAGAUGGUUUCGGCUAUCACUUACAGAUGGGCCCGCGGUGCAUUAGCUAGUUGGUGAGGUAACGGCUCACCAAGGCAACGAUGCAUAGCCGACCUGAGAGGGUGAUCGGCCACACUGGGACUGAGACACGGCCCAGACUCCUACGGGAGGCAGCAGUAGGGAAUCUUCCGCAAUGGACGAAAGUCUGACGGAGCAACGCCGCGUGAGUGAUGAAGGCUUUCGGGUCGUAAAACUCUGUUGUUAGGGAAGAACAAGUACAAGAGUAACUGCUUGUACCUUGACGGUACCUAACCAGAAAGCCACGGCUAACUACGUGCCAGCAGCCGCGGUAAUACGUAGGUGGCAAGCGUUAUCCGGAAUUAUUGGGCGUAAAGCGCGCGCAGGCGGUUUCUUAAGUCUGAUGUGAAAGCCCACGGCUCAACCGUGGAGGGUCAUUGGAAACUGGGGAACUUGAGUGCAGAAGAGAAAAGCGGAAUUCCACGUGUAGCGGUGA
rnacentral:rRNA from 1 species